UCUUUCUAGAAUGUACAGUGGAGAGAAAAGGGAAGGCACAAGGCACCGUUGUACAAAUCCAAGGCACUCUUGGAGCACAUGAGAAUUUCUCUUAGAUGACUCCUUUUUCAAAAGCUCAUCCCGGCCCCCAUCUUUCUUCUUUUUCUUUCCCAAUUUUCUACACCGAACAUGCAUUGUUGUCAUGGGAGAGAAGUCACUAAUGUAUAUUUAAGGAGAAAUAAAGGAAGGAACUUCUCUGUGAGCAAGAGUGUUUGAAUGCGUUCGAGGGUGGGUGCUAUGGAGGAGAUUCGGCUGAUGUGUGAGGUACAAUAAUGAUAUUACCAUUAUCCUGGGGUGGGGGAAGAAAAUGCUUCCUGGUAGGAGACUCACAUGGAAGUAUUUAUGGGGGUAAUGCCAUACUCUCUGGAUGUGCCUUAAAAUAUUACAAUGACAACACCGACGAAAAAUGGGGAUAAAUAAAACAAUAUUGAAAAAUGUGAAUCACCAAAGUUGGCUGGUGGGACAUGGGUUUUCGUUCUGUUCCCUCUACUUUUGUGUUGUUUGAAAAUAUGCAUACUGAAACACUGGAAUAAUAGGGUAUGGGAAAUGUGAAUGUGUAUUUUCCAAACCAAGAUGGCGGCCCAGGUCUUGGACUUCUUUAGCCUGACGAACCAGUGGCCCACGUGGAACCCCAGCUGCCUGUUCAGGUGGGCACUCGACAGGGCUUCUCACAUUCUCUGAUCCGAGAAGGGAGUGUGCCCUUCCCUGGGGGGUUAAAGGUACCAAAGGAUGUCCUCGCCCUGCUCUCCGACCUGUGACUCUAACGACUUGCAGGUCUCCACUCCCGCCAGGUCACACUGUCGCCUCCGCAGGUUUUCGAUCAUGAUCUGUCCGAACCGGUCGUCCAUGUUCACCUAGGAAGGGAAAGAGGAGGCUGGGCAAUGCCAGAAGGGCUUCUCGAAUACGCAAAAUCCGACAACAGUAUUCUGUUUCUGAGCCGUCGAGGCUGAUGUUUGCUAAUACCCAGUGCAGUCAACGGAGUCGGGUGCAGGCACGGCACGCAGGGCCAACGAGAGCAUCGUCUGCUGCCGCCCCCUGCAGGGCAACCGGGAGGUGUGUGCUCGGCCUGGGAGCCGGUCAGACCACUGACCGGCUGCUCCACAGGUAGACUCCCACGUGCAUGCCAGGUGCAAGAGGGUUUACUCCGCAGCAUGAUGUGUCACGGGACCUAUGACGGAAAGGACUCACAUGCCCAUCCGCUGGGCUUCAAGCAGCUGUGGCAUGGUCGUUUAAUGAAAUAUUACAUUGCCAUGAAAACAGCAAGAGGACAUCCAAGGAGAUGUAGGUACAGAUGUAGACACACAUACAGACACAGAUACGGAUGCGGAAUGAUUCUCAGAUAACAGACUCUCGAAAAGUACAGUACAGAGGGAUGUGCAUAACAUGCUCCUGUCUGCCCUUAAGAAAAAAAAAAUCUCUAGCUACAUUUAUAUAUGCAUGGAAUAAUUCUGGAAUCUGGCCAUGUUGCUUCCCAGGUUAGAGGACUCACUAAGGUCUGGGGUAGAAGAGAGACUUACCUUUCCCUGCAUACCCUUUUGUACUAUUUGAUUUUUUUUGAAGUUUUGCAUGUAGUGUUACUUAUCUAGUGAAAAACCAUUUAAACCCCC